rnacentral:rRNA from 1 species
CCUACGGGUGGCAGCAGUGAGGAAUAUUGGUCAAUGGGCGAGAGCCUGAACCAGCCAAGUCGCGUGAGGGAGUACUGCCCUAUGGGUUGUAAACCUCUUUUGUCGGGGAGCAAAAGCCGGACGUGUCCGGCUGUGAGAGUACCCGAAGACAAAGCAUCGGCUAACUCCGUGCCAGCAGCCGCGGUAAUACGGAGGAUGCGAGCGUUAUCCGGAUUUAUUGGGUUUAAAGGGUGCGCAGGCGGAUUUUUAAGUCAGCGGUAAAAUCGUGGGGCUCAACCCCAUCCAGCCGUUGAAACUGGGGAUCUAGAGUGUGCGAGAGGUAUGUGGAAUGCGUGGUGUAGCGGUGAAAUGCAUAGAUAUCACGCAGAACCCCGAUUGCGAAGGCAGCAUACCGGUGCACAACUGACGCUCAGGCACGAAAGCGUGGGUAUCGAACAGGAUUAGAUACCCGAGUAGUC